UGUGAAAUUUUAUUGAACAGUAUAUAUUUUUUGAGGGAUAAUAAAUUAAUAUGUGAAGAUUGUGGAAAGUCAUUUUCUUCUACUUCAACAUUGUAUCGGCAUAUGAGGGAUAUACAUAAUAAAAAACAGAGUGAAAAAGAGAGCCAACACAUUAUUUGCCCCCUUUGCCUGGACAAAGAGAAGUUUACAUCCUAUGAUUCUUUAAUAAGACACUUUCAUAGUAUUCAUAAUAUACAUAUUAAAGAAUCUGUUUUAAAUUUUAGGAAUUUGGCAGAGUUUGAAAUUUGGAGGUCUGCAGAAAACAGAGAGGUAGAUUAUGCUGUUCAUCGAAGAAAGAAAUGUGCUAAUGGGGAAGAAUUUAUUUACUAUAAUUGUAAUAGAAGUGAUUCAAAAGGAUAUGUCAGUACAUGUUUGCAACGGAAUUUAAAGUCUAAAGGAAGCAUUCGUAUGCAAGGAAUUUGUCCAUCAAGAAUAAUAGUUAAAAUUCUAGUAGAUGGAGUGAUUAGAGUAAGAUUUUUUGAAACCCACAUAGGACACCCUGACGAAUUAAGAAGCAAAAGGCUAACAAAAUCGGAACAGGAGAUAAUUGUGGAUAAAUUAGCAGCAGGAGUUUCAAACAAGAGAAUUAUUCAGGAGGCCAGAAGCGUAGACGGCAAUAAACUACAAAGGAAAAAUUGUAUAACAAGAGGAG